rnacentral:rRNA from 1 species
UGGGGAAUUUUGGACAAUGGGCGCAAGCCUGAUCCAGCCAUGCCGCGUGCGGGAAGAAGGCCUUCGGGUUGUAAACCGCUUUUGUCAGGGAAGAAAUCUUCUGAGUUAAUACCUCGGGAGGAUGACGGUACCUGAAGAAUAAGCACCGGCUAACUACGUGCCAGCAGCCGCGGUAAUACGUAGGGUGCAAGCGUUAAUCGGAAUUACUGGGCGUAAAGCGUGCGCAGGCGGUUUUGUAAGACAGAGGUGAAAUCCCCGGGCUCAACCUGGGAACUGCCUUUGUGACUGCAAGGCUUGAGUGCGGCAGAGGGGGAUGGAAUUCCGCGUGUAGCAGUGAAAUGCGUAGAUAUGCGGAGGAACACCGAUGGCGAAGGCAAUCCCCUGGGCCUGCACUGACGCUCAUGCACGAAAGCGUGGGGAGCAAACAGGAUUAGGUACCCUGGUAGUCCACGCCCUAAACGAUGUCAACUGGUUGUUGGGAAGGUUCCUUCUCAGUAACGUAGCUAACGCGUGAAGUUGGACCGCCUGGGGAGUACGGCCGCAAGGUUGAAACUCAAAGGAAUUGACGGGGUCAUAGCUGUUUCCU